GACGAACGCUGGCGGCGUGCCUAAUACAUGCAAGUAGAACGCUGAAGGAGGAGCUUGCUUCUCUGGAUGAGUUGCGAACGGGUGAGUAACGCGUAGGUAACCUGCCUGGUAGCGGGGGAUAACUAUUGGAAACGAUAGCUAAUACCGCAUAAGAGUAGAUGUCGCAUGACAUUUGCUUAAAAGGUGCAAUUGCAUCACUACCAGAUGGACCUGCGUUGUAUUAGCUAGUUGGUGAGGUAACGGCUCACCAAGGCAACGAUACAUAGCCGACCUGAGAGGGUGAUCGGCCACACUGGGACUGAGACACGGCCCAGACUCCUACGGGAGGCAGCAGUAGGGAAUCUUCGGCAAUGGACGGAAGUCUGACCGAGCAACGCCGCGUGAGUGAAGAAGGUUUUCGGAUCGUAAAGCUCUGUUGUAAGAGAAGAACGAGUGUGAGAGUGGAAAGUUCACACUGUGACGGUAUCUUACCAGAAAGGUACGGCUAACUACGUG
rnacentral:rRNA from 1 species